ensembl:snoRNA
GCGCUGUCUUUAGAGCCCCCAGGGAGCCUGCACGUGGCCCCAGGGGUCAGUCAGCAGCGUAGAGCAAAGGCUCGCGGCUAACUAGGGCCACUAGCCCUCCUUGCCAGUGGCCCAUUAAACCGCGAGCAACAUGC